rnacentral:sRNA from 1 species
ACAGGCGGAUUUGUUACCGGCAGAUGGUGCGAGCCAUUCCCGGUCAAAAAUGGAAAUGCAUCGUGCUGCCUUCCAUGCCCACAUGCUGACUGGAGAUACCCUAACGAUUUCAUGAAUAAAACCGAAGUUGCCAAUUGGGUUGCGGUAGCAAUAUUCACCUUGAACUGCCUGUUGUUGAUUAGCUUUGCGGUAUUACCCGUGAAGUGGACGCACCGCCACUACUUAGGCGUGUGUCUGACUGUUGGGAUUGUAUUUAUGGAGCUCUCGUUUAUUGUCCCUUUGAUCGCAAAACCGGACGAAUGUUUUAAUGCGAUUACUCCAAAUCAUAUGGA